UACGGGGGGGGCAAGCGUUGUUCGGAAUUACUGGGCGUAAAGGGCUCGUAGGUGCCACUAAGUCAUGCGUGAAAUCCCUCGGCUUAACCGGGGAACUGCGUCUGAUACUGGAUGGCUUGAGUUUGGGAGAGGGAUGCGGAAUUCCAGGUGUAGCGGUGAAAUGCGUAGAUAUCUGGAGGAACACCGGUGGCGAAGGACGGCAUCCUGGAGCCAA
rnacentral:rRNA from 1 species